GUCCCAGUUCGGAUUGUAGUCUGNAACCCGACUACAUGAAGCUGGAAUCGCUAGUAAUCGCGGAUCAGAAUGCCGCGGUGAAUACGUUCCCGGGUCUUGUACACACCGCCCGUCACACCAUGGGAGUCGGAAAUGCCCGAAGUCUGUGACCCAACCAUUAAGGAGGGAGCAGCCGAAGGCAGGUCGGAUGACUGGGGUGAAGUCGUAACAAGGUACC
rnacentral:rRNA from 1 species